UGGGUUGGCCCAAAAGUUCGUUCAGGUUUUUCUGUGUGAUAUUAUUUUUUGGCCAACCCA
rnacentral:miRNA from 1 species